GUCAGGAGGAGGCAUUAUAAGGAGACAGGUCCUGCAAACUGGCCAGAGAAGGAGCAAAGGCUUUACAAUUCAUUUUCUGAAGAGAAAAUUGUCAACAGAAGAAAACAAAUGGAGUGUAGCAAACAAGAAGAGACAAAAUGAAGCAUACCGUCAUAAUUCCUUCCAGCAGACCAGAGUCAGGCUUUGGAGGGAUCUGCUUCUCUGUGGACCAUUUCUCCACAAUGGAAGCCACUUGCGGAUUAUCCACAUUCAGGAUGCGGAAACCGGUCAUAUUGACACCACAGAAACGGGUUCCCAGGCUGCAUGUGAAUAGCUCCACUGCUCCUCGGAAGCACAAAAGAACGUUGCUGCACAAUGGCUGAGGAGAAUUGAGCCAACAAUGGCUAGUACUAAACAAUUACAGCAAACUUCCAGCAUUGUGCACAAUACUGACCAAUCGCACUGAACACAGAGUUUAUUCCAUUUCUAUACCCUCAAAGGAAAAAUAAAAAUGCAGAAUGAUAUUCCACUGUGCUUAACUGCAAUAAAA